CCAUGAGGAGUGGCUUCCGGAGCUAACGCGUUAAAUCGACCGCUGGGGAGUACGGCCGCAAGGUUAAAACUCAAAUGAAUUGACGGGGGCCCGCACAAGCGGUGGAGCAUGUGGUUUAAUUCGAUGCAACGCGAAGAACCUUACCUACUCUUGACGUCCAGAGAAUUUAGCAGAGAUGCUUUAGUGCCUUCGGGAACUCUGAGACAGGUGCUGCAUGGCUGUCGUCAGCUCGUGUUGUGAAAUGUUGGGUUAAGUCCCGCAACGAGCGCAACCCUUAUCCUUUGUUGCCAGCACAUUAUGGUGGGAACUCAAAGGAGACUGCCGGUGAUAAACCGGAGGAAGGUGGGGAUGACGUCAAGUCAUCAUGGCCCUUACGAGUAGGGCUACACACGUGCUACAAUGGCGUAUACAAAGAGAAGCGACCUCGCGAGAGCAAGCGGAACUCAUAAAGUACGUCGUAGUCCGGAUUGGAGUCUGCAACUCGACUCCAUGAAGUCGGAAUCGCUAGUAAUCGUAGAUCAGAAUGCUACGGUGAAUACGUUCCCGGGCCUUGUACACACCGCCCGUCACACCAUGGGAGUGGGUUGCAAAAGAAGUAGGUAGCUUAACCUUCGGGAGGGCGCUUACCACUUUGUGAUUCAUGACUGGGGUGAAGUCGUAACAAGGUAACCA
rnacentral:rRNA from 1 species